AUGAACGCUGGCGGCGUGCCUCAUACAUGCAAGUCGAGCGAACAGAUGAGGAGCUUGCUCCUCUGACGUUAGCGGCGGACGGGUGAGUAACACGUGGAUAACCUACCUAUAAGACUGGGAUAACUUCGGGAAACCGGAGCUAAUACCGGAUAAUAUAUUGAGCCGCAUGGUUCAAUAGUGAAAGACGGUUUUGCUGUCACUUAUAGAUGGAUCCGCGCCGCAUUAGCUAGUUGGUAAGGUAACGGCUUACCAAGGCAACGAUGCGUAGCCGACCUGAGAGGGUGAUCGGCCACACUGGAACUGAGACACGGUCCAGACUCCUACGGGAGGCAGCAGUAGGGAAUCUUCCGCAAUGGGCGAAAGCCUGACGGAGCAACGCCGCGUGAGUGAUGAAGGUCUUCGGAUCGUAAAACUCUGUUAUUAGGGAAGAACAAAUGUGUAAGUAACUAUGCACGUCUUGACGGUACCUAAUCAGAAAGCCACGGCUAACUACGUG
rnacentral:rRNA from 1 species